AUGUCUUCGGAGGUGCCAUCCAAUGAAAUGCCUGAAGGUUGCUGAAGUACAGACCGAAGACAGUAGUACGUGGUUACAGGGAACAUGAAGAUUGUCUGCAGGAACAAAGGCAGCACAAUAUGAUCAUGGAGAAGGCAUCCUGUGUUGUGAAUAGUAAGUGUGC